CGGGACGGGUGAGUAAUGUCUGGGAAACUGCCUGAUGGAGGGGGAUAACUGCUGGAAACGGUAGCUAAUACCGCAUAACGUCGCAAGACCAAAGAGGGGGACCUUCGGGCCUCUUGCCAUCGGAUGUGCCCAGAUGGGAUUAGCUAGUAGGUGGGGUAACGGCUCACCUAGGCGACGAUCCCUAGCUGGUCCGAGAGGAUGACCAGCCACACUGGAACUGAGACACGGUCCAG
rnacentral:rRNA from 1 species